UCCAGGGUAGCCUAGUGGACAUGGCACCUGCCCGGUAAGCAGAAAGUUGUGGGUUCGAUUCCCGCCCCUGGAC
rnacentral:tRNA from 1 species